AACAAAAGUAGUAGAAGAAGAAUUCAACCACGUUAUUGAGGAAGUAAACGUAUUGAACUCCAGACAAGGACUGCUGGCAACGCAUGUCAAAAUGCCGUAACACGCAAACCAACCUCGGAUCAGCGUGCGAAGAUGGAUGGAUGGAUGGACGGACGGACGAUCACAAAAUUCCCUAGGUUUGAAACAUCUUAUGGGCUUGAUGGGCGAAAGAAGAACCCUCCUGGUCUCCAGCUGUUCGCCAGUCCACCGGUGGAACGCUAAUUUGGCCCCGCGGUGCUGUCGAGCGGCCGACUGAAGAGUGUCCAGAUAACAUUAUCUCCUGACCGACUGGCGCGCCUGCAUCCCCUACCUCAUCCCAAAGAUGCACUAUGCCUGAGAGGAAACAGGUCCAGAGGGUCAUUAACACCACCCAGAGACUGACUGGCUGCCCUCUUACACCUUUGGAGGACAUCUGCAGCACAUUCAGGAGAGUAUGCUGCAUCAUCAGGAACUCUCACCCAGCUACCAACUCUUCUAGCUCUGUCCCUCAGACUGACCUUUCAGGGCAAUUCAAUCUAGAUCAAACAGACUAAACAUUUUCUACCUCAAAGCUGUUAUUGAACCUUGUAUGGUAAUACACAGUAACAAAAUCACACCCUGCUGUUGUGCUCUGUAUCGGUACCCACUGUUUCCACUAUUCAUUUGCACUAUUUCAUUUAUUUUCAUAUAUCUAUUAUUCAUUUACCUGUACAGUUUGGUUGCUUGCACUGUCCUUGAGAGCUGCUAUUUGUACAUUAUUUUGUCAGUAAAGGAAUCCUGAUUCUGUUAUACAGUGAGCCAUGUUGAUGUGUGGUAAAACUGAGAGUUUUGGAGAAAUAUACUGUACGAUACAGAUCGUCCUUACGUGAUUUCGACUUUAUGACGCUGGAGUCUGGUCUGCCAUUUUGUCUCCAGUCGUUUUUUUUCUCCACGUAAAACCCCUUUCAGUCGUAACAAGCCGCCGGUCGUCGGCCGAGUGGCAUUCUUGGUGGACAAGAAGCAUUGUCAGUCACAAAAUGCAAGCCACCUCCGUAUUAAAACGUGUGCCAUGAUCCCAAUAUUUGACAUAAUACAAAACACGAUGUUUACUCACUUCCUUGUAAGUCCAAUGGUCCCACAGUUGCCGCACACUUGUCAUGGCCGAUCUCGGGGUGAACGGGAGCUUUCUGAAACCCAAAAAGGCUCACACACCUCUCCCUGGGGCAGCUACAAAAGCCUGCAGCCGUUUGGCUGGCGUGAUGCGAAAAAUAAACGAAUUAAUCCGCAAAAUCAGCUGAAUCUGCAGUCCAUCUGCAUGCUAUAAAGCAAUGCUAAGUUGUGAGAUGCUAACCCGGGUGACAUCACAUUCGCAUUCGUCCUAAACCCAAGACUGGAGGCGGAAAUUACACAUUUUCAUGGCGCGAAAUUCAAAAAUUGAAUAUAUAAAACAGUCCCUUCAACACGCAUCCAAGCGGUUCAUCUCAUUCAGGAGCAUAAAACACAGCGUGAAAUAUGAAAUAAACAUGCUUUUUGGUGUAAGUCCGACUUUAGCAAAAAUUCGGGUUAAGUUGCCAACGUAGGAACAGAACUCGUUCGAAACCUGGGAACUACUUGUAGUUUUCGUGAAUAUUCUAAAUUAACUUACUUUGGAAUGAUUUGGAAGACCAUUUACUAUUAUUACUCAAGUGCUGUGUUACGUUGUUGACGCGCAUUCCAGUUUGUGUUAAAAUAUUUGUUACGUCAC